AUGGUGACACUAUAUACAAUGGAUUGAGUUAGGAGUACAUUAUAUUUUAGCGGAAUAUUAAGUCUGUGCAAUACGCAAAUAGUAGUGUUAUUUGUUUAGAAUACAAAUAUACAUAUAUACAUGAAUAUGUUUGAAAAUGUUUUGAUUAGAAAUCUGUAUUUGGAUAUAUUAAUACUAACAAUUAAUUGGAUUAUACUAAAAGAAUUGCGGAUAUAUAGAGUUAUAGGUUUUGGAAACAAAAGAAACUCCUGCAAACAUUUUUGAGCCAAGAAGUUACAUGGUGAGAGGAUGUAUAUUUGCGAUUUGUCAAGAAAUUACCUUGAGAGUCUACCUUUUAAAUUCUUUCUUAUGGAUUUAUUGUUCUAGGGUAUAUUUGGAUAUAUAUCGUUCUUUGGAAAAUAUUUUAUGUGUUGUGUAAAAAUGGGAUGGAAUAUUGUUAUAUCUAAUAUUUCUGUGAAUUCUAAUGUGUUGGAAUAUAUUUUUCAUUGUUUUUGUUUAUGUGUUUAAAAAUUGGAUGGAAUAUUGUGUACACCCAAUAUUCCUAGUGAAUUCUACUUUGGAUUAAUUAAUAUGUAUUCACAAAAUUGGAUUUAAAGUGUUCUAAUUAUUCUAAAAUUUUCCUUUAAAAUGUCCUUUGCUUACAUAUAAGAAAUAUUCGAAAUCUGUGUUUGGAUAUAUCAACACUAAUCAUCAAAUAUAUUAUGCUGAAAGAAAUGCGGAUAUGUGGAGUUAUAGGAUUUGGGAACAAAGGCAUCUCCUGCAAGCGGUUAAGAUGAAUUGUUUGGAGAGAUUUUAUUGUGAGAGGAUGUUAACAUGUGUUUUUUAAGAAGUUUAAUUGGAAGUCUACUUUUUAAAUUCUUUCUUGUAGAUUAAGUGUUCUAGUGCUAUUUGGAUAUAUAUCAUUCUAUCGAAAUAUAUUUUGUGUGUUGUAUAAAAAUUGGAUGAAAUAUUGUGUUAUACCCAAUAUUUCUGUUAAUUCUAAUGUGUUGGAAUAUGUUUUUUAUUCUUUUGUUUACGUGUUUAGAAAUGGAUGGAAUAUUGUGUUACACCCAAUAUUCCUGUGAAUUCUAAUGUGUUGGAAUAUAUUUUUCAUUGCAUUUGUUUACGUCUUUAGAAAUGGAUGGAAUAUUGUGUUACACCCAAUAUUUCUGUUAAUACUAAUGUGUUGGAAUAUAUUUCUUAUUGUUUUUGUUUACGUGUUUAGAAAUGGAUGGAAUAUUGUGUUAUACCAAAUAUUUCUGUGAAUUCUAAUGUGUUGGAAUAUAUUUUUCAUUGCAUUUGUUAACGUGUUUAAAAAUUGGAUAAAUAUAUCAUUUGAAAUCGUUUAAGAAGUAUUUGGAUAUAUCAGCUCUAAUAAACAAAUAUAUAUUAUGUGGAAACAAAUGCUGAUAUAUAGAGUUUUAGGUGAGUAAUGAUAAUUAAAUUAUUCUUUAAGUUGGACUAUAUAUAUCAUUUCAUCGUUCUUCUUUGAGAGACAUUAUAAGAAAUUCUGAAACUGAAUAAUUUGAUUAUGCAAAUCAAUGUAUUAAUUUUAAUGUCGCACUUGACGACAAGCAGCUGAAGCUCCAUACUCUUUAUUGGAUCCUUAAACUUCACAAAACUCCAUAUAAAUCUUGAUUUGUUGCAAAUCCAACCUUACGCUCUACAUAAAAUCAUUUCUCUACUUUUGACUUCUUGUCUUACUGCAAUAAAAGGCCAUGUAAUGACAAUGACAAUGACAAAUUUUAUUUGCUGUAAGGCCACCGGCCCAUGCAAAACAUAUACAACAAAUAUUUUCAAAUUGCAUAGCAUGUGCAUUGUAGAUCAUGCUGACAAACAUAUAAUAUAUAAUAUUCAGCUACAAUAUUAUGUCAAUUUAAUAUAAUGAUAAUAAAUGGCUUC